UCUCUCUCUCAUUCACCGCCUCCGCCCCCUUGCCGGCGCCAUCACCUCCACAACCAAGCUCUCUCUCUCUCUCUCUCUCUCUCAGAUCUCGGAAGACUGAAAGAAGGUAAAGAAUCCUUCUCUCAAUCUCUCUCUCGAAUUGGGGAAAUCGAUUGUUUCUAUGAACCAAGACAACAUCCCAGGGGUGACCGGCACCGUUCUGUCAAAGAAAUCUCAGGCGCUGCGCAAUUGAUUAUCAGUAAUUGUAGUUCGAACGCACCGUUUUGAUUCGCAGCAGUCAAUUUGAAGGUAUUGGAGUUCGAUUCGCAGCAGGCCAUUUGAAGGUUUCCCUUCUUGGUGGAGCAUUCUGCGCAUGUACUAGGCAUUUCUUUUAUAACACCGAAUCUCUUGAGACACCUUAGAAACAACUGGUGCUUCGAUGUGGUGCGAGGCAUUGCAGCUAUUAGCUGAGGAUUAAAGCAGAAAGCAAAAUUGAAGGUAUCAGAAGUGAGCUCCCGUUUGGGCAGGGCUGGUACUGUGGGACUUGGGAAGGCUGUGGAAGUUUUGGACACCCUUGGCAGUAGCAUAAUUUAAGGCAUUGCAGUUGGGACAAGACUCGGAACUUCUUCGGUUGUCUUUGAAAAUCUGGAAUUAGUGUGCAGUAAGAAGAAAACAGAAGGAAGCUUGGUGUUGUUGAGUUUAUUCUUUUGAGGAACCAUCUGAGAAUUUCAAAGGCAAGGGUUGUGAACGUUUGUUAUGUGAAAUUGGAACUGUACUUUUUGAAUUAGCAACUAUCUAGGAAAUGUUUCUGUUAUCUUUGUUCUGCUUGCUCUCCUAAAGAUGCAAAAAUGUAUAUGCGCGGGGAUCAUGUGGCAUUAGGACAGGGGGGUGCCAAUCCAGUUUCUCAACUCAACUUCUAGGCAAUACUUUUUUCUGUCACUAAAUUCAUGAUUUCAGUUUGAUUGAGUUAAUUUAUAUCAUUGCCUAUCAUCUGUUCAGAAUGUUAAAGUGUUGCAUAGAGACACCAUAUUGGCUUUUCAAAUCUCUUAAUUAUAUCUCGGCAUAAUUUUUGUUAUUAUUUUGAUUCAUCCUUCAAUAUUGAUUUCAGCUGAGCUUUGUUUUCUUUACAAUUGGACAUCCCAAGACUUUCUCCAACUUGACAUUUCAGUUGAGCUUUGUUUUCUUUAGAAUUGGACAUUCCAACUUGACGAGGUGCGCAUUGAGGUGAUUGACUGUUUGCAGACUUUGCUAUUGAUGCUGACUAGCAAAGUGAUUUUGAGUAAGGCUAGCUAGAUUUUUUGUGAACCAUUUGGGAGUAGUUGUACUGUUGCAGCAACUGUGAACAAAACUUCAUGUACACUUAUUGCAGUGGUAUGUUUUAGGCUAGCCUUGAAGUAGGUUGGGGUAUUUUUGCCUAUUUUUUGAACUAUUAACAUCUUUGAUGUUGGAUACAAAUUAAUGCAAUGCCUCAUA